GACAAGAGUAACCUUCUCAUUAUGCUUUAUAGCUUUCUUUCUAUGUUCCAUUGUCUGCCCCAAUUACGCACAGGAGAAAAACUGGUGUAUAGCUCAAAGCCAUCUUUCAGAGUCAAAGUUGCAAGAAGUUCUUGACUAUAUGUGCGGGAUAGUCGACUGCAAGGAGAUCCAACCCGGGGAGUCAUGCUUUGAACCUGAUACUCGGCAAAAUCAUGCGUCUUAUGCUAUCGAUCUUAACUAUCGUAUAACCGGUGUUUGUGAUUUUAGUUAUGCUACUACUAUUAUAACAGAUCCUUCGCGCAGGACAUGUGUCUACCCAUAAGCUUGCUCAUCGGGGUCAAGUGUUGAAAUGAAUAAAAUUGCUAUCUGAUUUUACAAGGGAAGAAAGAUUGUAGGAUGCAAACAUAAUUUUGUUUGGACUUAUGUUUCAUGUUUGAUAUGUUCGGUGUGUUCAAGUUGAGAAUAAUAAAAGAUGUUCACAAAACAUUUGCUCUUUAAGAAUAAGAUAAGAUGUCAGUUGCACUU